UUAACUUUCUGCCAUCAGCUAC
rnacentral:siRNA from 1 species